AGAAAGUAAGAUAAAUGAAUCUGGCUUGAAACCGGGUUAUGGGGGUUUAAUUCCCUCCUUUCUU
rnacentral:tRNA from 1 species